AGCAUCAAACACAUCCAGAUACUCUGAGAGAGAGACAGAGAGUUUAUAUAAGAUGCUGCAACAUAAGAAUAAGACUAAUAUGCAAAAACGUAAACUUGCUAUUUGACACUUUAGUCAUAAUUAAAACCAGUUGAUUAAAUUUUAUCAAUUUAGGCCAAAUAAUUUAGUUAGUAAUAUGGUUGUAUUUAUUAGGCCUUCAUCCAAAUUCCACUGUAACUUCUUGGACACCAAGUAGGAGUUGCAGGGUCCAUAGUGUAUUGAAAAGGAACUGAUAUGGCAUGAACUCUACUUUCUAAAAUCUAAACCAUGUGACUGCUAAAUCAAAAGACUACUGCCACAAGGGAUUCUCAAUGCCAAUCAUAUAUGCUCUAGGAGUGAAAUAAACACGACAUUAACUCCUUUCCAGUAAAGUAUGGAUUCUAUAAUUGUGCAUUUUCAAUGAGAAGCUAAUAAAAAUUUUGGAUAAAAUUCAGACAGGAUACACUUGUAUCUCUAACAGAAGUAUGUAACCCAAAUCAAUGAAGAUAAAAGAACCAGACACAAUGUAGAAAGCACCGAUCAUCUUUUUUCUUUCUCUAUUUUUUUUAGGCCUAAAAUAAACAAAAGAUGAAACGAAGCACAUAAUAAGAUAAUAUAACAACAUAUUUAGUUAGACACCAAAAAUGUAAAUAUUAAAAUACAGGAUUUGUACAAGAGCCAACAUAUAAUGUAUCAAACCUUGUGUAAUGGAUUUUCCCAGCCAAUAAUGAAUUACACCCUGGUGAAAUUAAAGCAGUGCAGUAUAGGCAAGAUGCAUGAAUACAGGGCUUUUCAGGUACAUAUAACCACCCAUUAUGGCCAUUCUAGUAUUGUCAAACUCGUCUUUUGGAUGUGUCAACAGUAACCUCCAAAAACCGCAUUCCACCUGACUUUUUUUGCUUCAUGGACACACUCAAGCCUUCCGCAAGUUGGUUAUUCACAUCAAAAUCCCAUUUGGUACCAGAUUUCCAAUAGAAUCUUCCCAUCCCACCAUAUAUCAAAGGUUCUAUAUUCUAUAAACUAAAUUUUUGAACUUUUUUAUAGUUCAUACCGUCUAUCACUCAUUCUAUUCCUAUUGUCAUUAUUUGCUAGAUUAACUAAAUAUUUACUUGAUCUACAAAAUUAUGAUGCAUUUGAAUUUUUUUUUUUUACAAUUUUUGGUAUAAAUUAUUAGAAUUAGUAUAACAUGCAAAAUCGAUGCUUCAUAUUUAGUUCUUUCUUGUAGGUUUACACACACAUAGAUAUUCAGGUAAUAGGUUAGUCAUGUGUUGGAAGCAUUGAUAAGCUACAUAUUUAGUUUAAAUCUCAUUAAACUAUUUACUUGAGUGAUUCUGCUAAUUUAUUGAUAAAUUUAUAGCAGCGAUUGCAUUCAAUUCAGUUGGGCCACUACACCAUGAUACCACAGCUUAAAGCACAAUUUAAAAUCCUGGUAAAUGUUCGAGUGUUUCUUUUUUUUUUUUUU
rnacentral:misc_RNA from 1 species